GUGAUAGUCGGAAAUCGACGGUUGGGUGAAAGAUGUAGAUGUAGAUGAUGAAGAAGAAGAAAAAGUGCACAGUUACUUCCCUUUAACCAAAAUACGCCAUUUGCACCGGCUGUCCCAGAAGAAAAGAACAUAGUUUUUUUAAUUUUGUGCAGAUGUUUUUGUACUAGUUUGCACGUAUUCGCUCCUGUAAGGCUUGAUAACUUAUUUGCAGGUCGCUGAACUUCAUCAAGUCACAUGCCAGAAUGUACAAACGUAAGGGAGUGAUCAGUCAUAAUAGAAUUUGAACGUACACAAUUUGAUAUCGACACUAUACUGUACAGUUUGAUGUACUGUAGUGGAUUGUCAGGGGAAGUAACUAGAGUUGUGGAUUUGGACUAGGGCGUAACUUGCCAACAACAAAAAAAAGAGAAAAUUUUAGCGAAAAAAUCUGGAGGUCAGGUGCCUUUGGCUGUCAUACGAAUUCACCCAUGGUGAUACUUAUCAAGAAGUGUGAUGUACAAGGAAAGCAGAAUGCCUAGAGACCAGUUACUUCAGAAUUGAAGAGAUGCAGGUCUUUAUUCUACAUGGUGAAAGAGGGAAUUACAGUGGAUAUUUGGAUUUAUCAGCAAAAAUCUGGAGGUCAGUGCCUUUAGCUGUCGUACGAAUUCACCUAUGGUGAUACUUAUCAAGAAGUAUCAAGAAGUGUGAUGUACAAGGAAAGCAGAAUGCCUAGAGACCAGUUACUUCAGAAUUGAAGAGAUGCAGGUCUUUAUUCUACAUGGUGAAAGAGGGAAUUACAGUGGAUAUUUGGAUUUAUCAGUGAAAACCUGUGAAGUGUUAGUGAAGCAGAAUAGUUACAGAUCAUAAGAGAUGCGGGUCUUUGUUCAGCAUGGUGUAUAUGGAAAACAUAGUGGAUGGCCAGCAUAGAAAACAUUUAACAAUGUGAAGCAACAGUCUAGCAGAAUGGUUACACACCAUUAAUUCAGAACUGAAGAGAUGCAGGUCUAUAGAACUGUGAUGUGUGUACCAGUCUAUCAGGCUAUCCCAUUCUGUCCAGUCAACAAAUUGGCAAUGGCUACAUGGAUUCUCAAUCCAAAUGAUCAGCAUUUGCAUACGAAAGUUGUUGGGGUAAG
rnacentral:lncRNA from 1 species